rnacentral:rRNA from 1 species
UACGAAGGGGGCUAGCGUUGUUCGGAAUUACUGGGCGUAAAGCGCACGUAGGCGGAUCGAUCAGUCAGGGGUGAAAUCCCAGGGCUCAACCCUGGAACUGCCUUUGAUACUGUCGAUCUGGAGUAUGGAAGAGGUGAGUGGAAUUCCGAGUGUAGAGGUGAAAUUCGUAGAUAUUCGGAGGAACACCAGUGGCGAAGGCGGCUCACUGGACCGGUACUGACGCUGAGGCGCGAAAGCGUGGGGAGCAAACGGG